GUGGUGUUUUUAAGUUGGUAGAGUACUUGCCUGGCAUGCAUGAAGCCCUGGGUUCAAUCCCAGAGACCACA
rnacentral:tRNA from 1 species